UACGGAGGGGGCUAGCGUUGCUCGGAAUCACUGGGCGUAAAGCGCACGUAGGCGGAUCCUUAAGUCGGGGGUGAAAUCCUGGAGCUCAACUCCAGAACUGCCUUCGAUACUGAGGAUCUCGAGUCCGGGAGAGGUGAGUGGAACUGCGAGUGUAGAGGUGAAAUUCGUAGAUAUUCGCAAGAACACCAGUGGCGAAGGCGGCUCACUGGCCCGGUACUGACGCUGAGGUGCGAAAGCGUGGGGAGCAAACAGG
rnacentral:rRNA from 1 species